UACGUAGGGACCAAGCGUUGUUCGGAUUUACUGGGCGUAAAGGGAGCGUAGGCGGCUUAACAAGUCACUUGUGAAAUCUCCGGGCUUAACUCGGAACGGUCAAGUGAUACUGUCGCGCUAGAGUGCGGAAGGGGCAAUCAGAAUUCUUGGUGUAGCGGUGAAAUGCGUAGAUAUCAAGAGGAAUACCUGAGGUGAAGACGGGUUGCUAGGCCGACACUGACGCUGAAGCGCGAAAGCCAGGGGAGCAAACGGG
rnacentral:rRNA from 1 species